AGGACGAACGCUGGCGGCAUGCCUAACACAUGCAAGUCGAACGAGAGUAGCAAUACUCGAGUGGCGAACGGGUGAGUAACACGUGAGCAACCUGCCUUACACAACGGGAUACCUACUGGAAACAGUAGUUAAUACGGUAUAAGACCACAGUACCGCAUGAUACAGUGGUAAAAAGAUUUAUCGGUGUAAGAUGGGCUCGCGGCGCAUUAGCUAGUUGGUGGGGUAACGGCUCACCAAGGCGACGAUGCGUAGCCGACCUGAGAGGGUGAUCGGCCACAUUGGGACUGAGAUACGGCCCAGACUCCUACGGGAGGCAGCAGUGGGGAAUAUUGGGCAAUGGAGGAAACUCUUUAACCCCAGCAAUGCCGCGUGAACGAAGAAGGUCGUAAGAUUGUAAAGUUCUUUAGUCAGGGAUUAAUAAAUGAAAGAUCUGAAGAAUAAGCUCCGGCUAACUACGUGCCAGCCGCUGC
rnacentral:rRNA from 1 species